rnacentral:rRNA from 1 species
AUGCGUCAAGCGUUCCAGUCCAAUAUGUUUAAUUUCACAGACAAGCUUAUGGCAUGCUUAGCAGAGAGUUGCACUUGUUGUAAGGCACAUGGGAACAAAAAAUGCAUAUUGGAUAAUGAAGGAACAAAUACUUGUGAUGAACCCCCUCAUGUAUCAACAAAUCAAACUCAAUUGAGCAUGCCGCUAGUCAGCAAGAUUGGACCCCGACUACCAACACCAGGCAACCCUGGAGGUUGCAUGUCUAUCAAUAGUUCCGUGUCUAGGAAAAGGGAUGGCAGUUUAUCAUCAAGCAUACAGUCGGGCACAGCAAAGAAAACAUGUUCACGCGAGACAGGGACCGCCCUCGCUGCAACACCAACAUGUGGGCAAGAACCACUCAAUAAUAUCCCCACAUCUCAGGAUGCAACCGUUAAGGAAAUUGCAAGCAAAAUUGUUGCUUUUUAUGAUGACCUUACAGCCAUCUUGGUUAAUUACUAUGCUGAGAUAUGUCCAGCCCCGGCUUCAUAUUGUUUGGAUCAACCAUCGAUGGAGCACCUAUGA